rnacentral:rRNA from 1 species
AUGAUUGACCUAAAUGAGGAACCAGCUGAAAAUAAUGAUGAUCCUUUGUACUGUACACAACAUGCUACUGGAAAUGCAGAAUUUGUGGCGGAAUCACCUAAUCCCCCUAUCAUCCAAAGAGUCGAUGGUGCUGCUACAGAAGCAAUGGAGACAGAUGAGCAGUCAAGUCAUGGGGGGCGUGCUCCAGGCAGUACACAAGUACCUACAGCUGUAACAGUUGGGAGUGAUGCUCAUACCCUUGAUGGCACAGGUGCUGCAGGUGAUACCGGUGGCACUGUUGGUGAUGGUUUGGGUGCUGAAAAUAAUGAUGAAGCUUGGUCACAGCCCAAGGAGCCUUACGUGGGCAUGAGGUUCGACACUUUGGAAGAUGCCAAGGUGCAUUACAAUGCAUAUUCCUUGUAG